rnacentral:lncRNA from 1 species
UUCUUUCUUCAGCUCUCUUAGGAGGGCGACCUGGCAAAUGUUAUUCGAGGUAAGUACAUCUUGUUGACGAUUAAUAUUCAACCUUUUUAUUUUCUGUUCUCUCUGAAUAUUAACAGUGAUAGAAUUUUGAGAAAACUUCUCUAUUCGUACAGCAUUUCUGUUUAACUACAACCUGUUUGCUUUAUACUUGAAUACUUGAUGCAAUGUUCUUUUACAAUGAUAAAGCAUUUUAAGCAAAAGGCCUUACCUCAGACUCGACCCUAUCGAACUUGAGAGUCCCUGCGCCAAUCUCUCCCCAGUAGAAAUGAGAUUCCUCCCACAAGUUUUUGAACUUCUCCAGUUUAGAAUCAAUGAGUGAUUUCACAUUUCUCUGAACCAAGAAACUCCAUGUCAAUAAUACCAAGUAAUAUCCUCUGGUUAUGGACAUACGAAUAGUCCAAUAAUAUAUGGGGUAUGAAUUAUAAAUUCAGUUAUGAUGUCAUAUUUCUGAAUUCCAUUUUAAAAACCCAAUUCUUCAUCCUUCCAAUCCACUCUCCAGUGGUGCUUGUGACUCAACAGCGAAUACUUUAAAGAGCAUUUCAUGGAAUACUUAUGAAAAGGAACAGCAAUUUGACAUCCAACAUCACAUAAAUGUAGGUCGUUUUGGCUUUUCUAAUUUAUAGACUUUGCUAUGUAUCUAGAUAUACACUAUGUCUAAAUACAUUCUAAAAAUUAUGUAUCUAGAAAAGUUAAAACGACCUACAAUUUGGAACGGAGAGAGUACAUUAAUAUAGAAGUACAAAACGGAGUCACUAACCUUGAAAUCCUUGUCAGAGAGUUCAUGGAUUUUGCUUUCAAACAUCUUGAAGAAUUCGUCAACUCUAGCAUCAAGGUACGAAGGAUCCUAUGUGUCCAACAUAAACAUAAUAUCAGGAGCAAGUGGAAUCUUAGUCAUGUGAUUUUUCAAAAAAAAAAACAAUAAUAAAAAAACUCGACCAAGGGGACCGUGCUUCGAACCCGGGUCAGGACAGGAGUCUCUAACAAGUCCUAGAGUUCAACGCUCUUAUCAGGCAACCACGAGAAGCUUGGCAUAUUUUUUAAAAUAACGUCAUGCCAAUUACUCUUUAUAUCAGUAGAAGCAAAGGCGAAAUUUUUGACAAGCCAGUUACCCUAGUUCUGAACUUGUACCUUAACUGUGGACUGAAUAACCACCUGGAGUGCCCAGACUCCAUAGUCGGAUCUGCAGAAUGAUAACAUUCAUAGUAAGCUAGGUUUUAAAUGGUCAAAUUCAAAUGCUAAUUAAAAGCUUAUGGUAAUCCUGAAAAGAGAAAGGAACAAACAAUACAUGUAAUACAAAACCCCUGGCAUAUACCUUAGAGAAAGACGUGUUAUAUACCCAAGUUGCUCAACUGUCCGUAGCUGGUUGAAGGCAGGCUGGCUAGCAAUUAAUGAGAACAGCUGAAGUUUGAUAUUCGAACUGGCAUCAUCUUGAUGUACCUGAAUAUAUUCAACAUGUUUAGCAUCCUGGCAUGGUUGCUGUUAAUUGAAAUGUUCCCAUAAGCAAGGUACAUUCGAUAGAUCCAUGAGACAAUCCUAUUAUAUUGAACUAGGAACGUAUUUAGUCUUAUCCUGAUUUUUUGUCAGUUGAUUCUUUAGAUGAACUGCUACCUUAUAAAUAAAUUCUUGUUGUGUUUGAGCAUUCGAUAUUAUUUUGCAUCCGAGCAUCUUUAAAAGCUGAAGGAUGGAAAAAAAAUAUCUGAAUCGAAUAAGUUUGACUGAGUAAAAUGGGCCAGUGCCCAACUGAAUGGCAACUGGCAAACUGCCAACAAUCCUCGACACAGUGUUGCAGCUAUCAUUAUACUGACAACAAACACUAGAUAACAAGGAGCAGAAUUACCAAAUUAGUAAUUGGUUUGGUACAUUAGUUUUUUACUAAAGGUUUUAAGGUACAACCAAAUUUAUACUGCACCUGUUGCACCAAAUCACACAAAGAUUUUUCCAUACCUGAAUAUAUUGGAUAACUGAUGAAUUCUCAUUUUUCUGAUUUAAGCCCUCAAUUUGGUAGUAGCAUUUCAAUUCAUCUUCAAGCAUGAUAACCCUUUCAGUCAGAUAUUGUGAUGGAGACAUGGAUUUGAACAUAGUAUUGGGGGUAUUGAAUAUAGUGUCCUCAAUCUCCUGCGCAAUGGAUUUAGCCUCACUUGGUUCAAUGUUCCCUACAAGGAGAAUUUUAGUAAGUACAAUUCGAGAUAUUUUCCAUUCAUGACCCACGAAAAUUAAAUAACACCAUUAUUAGUACAUAAAUCUGCCAAACCUUGAAUAUAACAUUCCAAAAAUGUCUUUGAUAGCAAGUUUGGUAAGAACUUCGCAAGAGAAUCUGAUUCAAGCUUUGAAAGAGCUUCAAGUUUCUCAGGUACAGGCCAUUUUUUAUCUUCUAAUAUUAAAGAUACAUAGAAUGAAGCUUGAGAAUGUGGUUGCCUGAAAUUGAAAUUUUGGUAGUCCUUGACUGUAGUUUCCUGAGAUUGGAAGAUGUUGGUCAGUAAUAUCAUGAAAAAAUCAUCACGAGAAAGACUACUAUGCUCAGUAGUUUGCAAAUGCCUGAUGUGGACCUUGCCACCCUAGAUUUGAGAUACCACAGGACAAGUAUGAAGUUUGAUGAAAUAUGUUGCAACCUGCAACAUAAUUGGUUCUGACAAUCCACACUAUUACUGCCAUUAAUGAAAUGUGCAUAUUGCCCUACUUUUUCUUAAUCACAAUGCGAUGAGUCACUCAUAUGCAUAAAUGCAUCAAAAACUGUACCAUUACAAGCAGUUACACCAGGGAGUUGAGAAAAUGUAGUGUUGGGAAUUGACAUAAGGACUAAGAUUAACAGCAUAGGAUAUAGACAGUUAUAAAUUAUUUGUGAAUAUUUGACUCGUCAAGUGUGCCUAGAAUCUAGAUUUCUGCAUUCAUAGAAACUAAAUUUUAGUAAAGACCUUUUAUUGUUCAGCUAGAUGUUGUCGAAAGUUUUCCUACACUUUCAUGACAAGCUGGUGAGCCAAAAAAAACAUUUUUCAACAGCUGACAAAAUAAACCACAGUUACUCCUGCGGAGCACCAGAUCUCUAAUCAUCUAUAGUUGUAAUUUUACAAAAAAAAAAAAAAACAGAGAUUAAUGAAACUGAAAUUCCUCUGCCAAACGAACUGAGCAAAAAAAACUUCAUUACAAGGGUAGACUACGAAUUUAAAUGUUCCUGAGCAAAAUUAUGAAAGGAAAACAAGCACCAGAAUAUUAAGAUUCACAGCUUACCUUCAGGGCAGAAAACCUGUUUGGCUUAACUUCAAAAUUAGCAAUUUGCUUCAAUAUGGCAUUUAGGAGAACCCUCAUCUUAUCAUUAUAACCACCUAAGGAGACCUUUAAACAUACACAGUUAAAUGUUUAAGUUAUACCAGCAACGUGACAAUUCAUCAGAGUUCCAACAAACAGCAUGAUAAUUAUACAAUGUGCCGCUUAACAGUUACAGUUAGGAGCACUCGUUGAAGAGAGAAGCAAUUAUAGUAACUAUAAUUACCUGGAAUCCAGCCGAAGUAAGAUAUAUUGAAUAGUAUAAACCAGCAAUUUGAGCAUCAAAAGCUGCAAAAUGAACAGAGAAUUUGUCAGUAUACAUUUUAACCUAAAGUUGGCAGGAGUACAACCUAAAUUGAUUGUUAUGGUGAAAAAAGAUCACCCUAUUAACAAGUUUGGGCUUACCAUAAGCGUUCAAAUAAUCCACUAACAAAUCAACAAAGAGAUCAGUAGAAACGUAUGCUUCGGGGGAGUGGCUUGAUAAUGGGCAGUGGAAAUCAAUUAUAACGUGAACCUUUGGCGUGGAGAACAGCAAGUCAGGCUUAUACCACAACUGUGAAAGUGGUGUCUUCCUUAAUACUUUUGGAAAAGUAACCUGAUAAAACAAUUUUAUUUUCGUUAGAGUUGUUUACUAUGUAAGGUCUCAACAAUUCAUACUAUUAUGGUAUGCUGAUGCCAACAUUGAAGUACUCCAAAAUUGACCUUUUCAUUCACUUCUUUAAGAGCUAAAUCCUUUGGAAUGAACAUGUUAGGCUCUGGGAGGUGGAGUUUCUCCGUGGGAGCUUUUUGAAUCCAUUGCUGUCAAGUAGUGAAAAUCAAUAAAAAUAUGUUAGAACAUUAAUAAGCCAAGUGGAAUAAGAUAACGGGGGUACAAUAAAGAAAAUGGUAUUUUAAAAGACGAACCUGUAUCACAGAAGGAAUAACAUUUUCAACAGAAUAUGAUGUAUUAUACCAGGGCUCAGCAGAGGUAGUAGAUCCUUCAAAUUUUUUGGACUCCCAGAAUAUUCUAAAUAGAGACAAAGAAGUAUUGCGUCAAAGAAAUAUAAAAAAAUGCAUAUACUCCCUCUGCCCUAAUAUAUAAGGCGUAACCACUUUUUACUCAAGUCCCAUAAUAUAAGGCGCGCUCUCUCUAUAUGCACGUACAUUAAUGCAGUAAUACUAGUGUUGAUAGAGAGAAUUAAAUACGUUCCUUGGUCUUUGAACUAGAGGUGGUUACGCCUUAUAUACUGGGAUGGAGGGAGUAGUACCAUAGGGCAUAGGCAAAGCAUGUGUGAAAUAAUUUCAGGGUACGAAUGAAGAUAAGUUCAAGAUAUGAAUGUAUAACCAAAUAAGCUAUUGACUAACUUUUUAACCACUACCUAUAAAAGAAGCUAGGGCCAUUAGGAUAACUUAGCAACCUUAUAAGUUCGUUGAAGUACAAAUUAUACCCAAGAAGUCUAUGCUUUAUAAGCUAGCUAGGUCAAUCACUCCGCUGCAGAUACUAGGGUUGCAGUGCAUCGCAGUUCAUGAUUUUCUAAAGUCAAAGACUAUCCAGGCACAAUCCUGUCACCCCCACCAACACCUCCGAUACGCAUGUGGGUGCUCAUGCAUUGGACAAAAGCAUUUCAGCACAACGAAGUGUCAAAAUAACAUCUAUAUUUCAGAAAAGUGAAUAGGUUUUCAAAUUUGCGCCCAGUGAUAGGAAGGGAGAUUUUACAAGAUGAAUGCUAGAGUUACUAAUGUCUCUUGCCUAUUUCUACCUAAACCGUGAGAUUGAAGAAGAUACACUAGUCCCCAAGGUCCAUUACAGAUUUGCUGCUCUUUUCUUUUGAUCUGCACACUCAUCAUUAAAUGAAGUGGCAAAAGGGAAGAUCAUUUUCAUUUUAUACUUUGUUUACAUGUUGUUCCCCUUUUAUACCUUAGAUUAGAACCAUUUCAUGUACUUUUAUGUGUUUACAAGGAUUACAAUAUAGACUGUAGGCAAAAACAAAGAUGCCAUGUGAACUGCAUAGUGUACCUUACUCUUUCAGGUGACAACUGAUCGAGUAUCAUCAUUAUUCUUUGUGGUGCGUACUUUGAUGGCAAUGCUGAUCCAACCAGCCACUCUUCUGGCGGGAACAACUGCAAGCAAGUUUACGAGUAUUUGAAAUUGAUCACAAAGAUAAUAAUGAACUGCAGACAAAAGUUGUGGUUCAACAGCUUUCCCGAACGAUGAUGAAAUUAUAUGUAACAUAAUUUUUAGUGCUUAGUGCUGAAAUUGAAAGAAUGUGGAAAGAGAAUACAUUACUAUAAAGAUAAACUAUCACAAAUAACUGCAAUGUAAUGGGUGUAGAUAAUAUACCCGCAUACUUGAGACAGUACCCGUCACAUAGCUGAUUGGAUCAAUUUUGUCUUGAUAAUGGAACUCUGUUCCAUUUAUUGCCACAAGCUAGCAAAUAACAGGUAUUAGAAUUUACGUUUUGUGUAAUGAAUGUAAAUCAAUUCAUUUGUUCCACAAAAUGCUAAAAACAUGUAUAAGAAUUGAUAUUAUGAGUUGAUAUUGGCAACAAACAACCUCUAAAUAUCAUGUGAAGAAAACAUGAGUCCAAGAAUGCAGCGCCCAUAUUUACUCUAUCCAAAUACCCAUGCUACAUCAUUACUCAUUAGCAGAUUAAGUCUGUCAUCUGUUAUCUAGCUUUCAAUCACUCAGCGAAGCACUUGGAUACAAAACCAAAACUCUUCAAAUACUUUACAUAAAAAAUGUAAACCAUGAACCUUUCAGUUACCUCAUUAAAUAUCCACUCAUGGACUCCAUCUUCUUUUAAUAGAACAAGAUAUUUGAAGAUCAACCCAACAAUAUCCUCCACGUGUUCUAAAAUAAAGCAUAUGGGUAAGAUUCUUAAAAAUAUAAAUGCUGAUUCAAAUUAAAAUAAUGCUGGUUCAAGUAAACAAGGAUGAACGAAAACUGACCAUGACCAGCAUCAGUGAGCCUCAUGCUUAUUGAGAAAAAAGAAUAUUCAGUGCUGUCAGUGCUCUCUCCAGCCAUCAAGUUCAUGGCCCAUCCUACAGUAGCAAAAUUUGGACAUGUCAGAGGUUGCAAAAGUUGAUAGAUUAUAUGUAGAUGAUAAGGCAGCAAAAGUAUAAGGACAGCAAUCAAAUGUAGAAGUAAACUUGCCUAGUUCCUUUAUUAUAUGGAAGAUGGACCCCUCGCCUUCAUGCCCAAUAAGGUGACUCAGAUAAUGGCAAGGACCUUCUUUGUAGAACUGGAUGCUAGGUGUAAUUGGCCAUAUUAUUCUUAGAUAGUCGCCUUCUUCUAUUGGCAGUGCUUUGACAAGAAGCUGUAUAAGAAGCAUGAGACAUCACAUCUCAUUUGCAUCAGUGGACUAUUUUUUUGUGACAAAUAAUACUGACGAGCAUUCUGUCUUCUACCUGCAAAUGUUCCUCUGAAAGAGGAUGACUCGGACAUUUGAAGCUUCUCUGGUCAGUGUUUUUUAUGUCACUAAAUAAACGAUCAACCAAGCCCUGAAUGCAAUCGAGGCUCUCUGCAAAAUCAUUUUAUCAAUUUCAAAUAGGUUUGUGUACUCCAAUGGAGUAAUUUGCAUUACUUACCCUUUCCAUAAACAACAAGGUGCAUAAGAUUUGCCGAAUAAUUCUCAUAAAACUUCAGAAGUUCAUGCCUGAUGUCCAAGUCCCUCCCUUUUGGUUUAAUUUCCAGUGUUUCCAAACUUCCUGAUAUUAGAUUUGUGAUAUAAAAAAAUUCACAUGAGACAGAAUUACUUAAUGUAGAAUUUCCACAAGAAGGUUUCUUACUAAGAGUACACAAGACUUGACAGGGAUAAAAAUUUAGAUUUUACAUGUAGUUAUUUCAAUUUGCAUUAACAAACAUAGUGUCCUUUUGAAGUGGCUCAAAAAAUUUGAUUUAUGAAGGUGGUAGAUACUCGCUAUAUAAAGAUAAAAUGGAAGUUGUACAUAAGAAAACUGAAAACAUGUUGACGUUUCUCUGCACGGGGGUAUUAUCAGAAUCCAGUACAAACUAACAACCAUAAUGAGCUGAUAAAAUAAGCACCCACUGCAGCUGUCUGAACAUAGAGCAUUCUUACCGGUACUGAAUUUAUGGUAAGGGUGAUCCUUUGAAGCCAGAUGCUUUUGAAGCUGGGAGGGGGGAAAGAGAAAGAAAGUGAGGCCACAGCGCAGCAUGUCUAUGGGAUCAAAAGUUAAAUUGAAGAGAGAAAAUUUGAGGACUGGAGGAAUUUGUUGUUAGAUAUAUGUGUUAGCUGUGUAUACCUACAUAGUUGGAGGGAUUUUAUGCAUAUGUACACUCGUAUAUUUUCCGCUUUGGGCUAAGGAAUAGAUCUGAGUUGCUCAUUCCUAACAACUUUGAGGAUAAGCAAGACUUAAAAGAUGUACACUGCUAUGUUUAUAAUUGGGAACACACUUCGUAAAUACUAAAAAUUGAGAAACUAGCAGAUACUUGUUUUAGGAUAAGCAAAACUUGUUCAAUGCCAUAUAUGGCUGGUUCUUGUUGUAACAUAUUUGCGAUCAUCUUAAAGAUUCACAGUGUUAUUUUAAUAUAUGGAAGCACAGGAUGUAAAAAAAAUCAUGUAUUCAAAAUGCCUCUAUGCCUUACUGACUGCUGUUUCCGUUGGAGAUAUGGCAUAGGGUGCAAAAAGAUUAUCUGAUCAAUCAUGACUAACAAAGCUGAACUUGCAGGUACCUGAUACAUUCUCCAGCCAUCGGACAAUAAGUUUUUCUUGUGCUCUGUAAGGUCAAUAAAAUGGCAAAAUUAGCCAGAGUGUGCACAUUACGGAAAAUAUUUUUUUUGUAAAGUACAAAGUAAUGGCUGUUAGUUCAGACUAGUAUAAUAAUAAUCAGGCAUCCAAG